GAGAAGAAAUGGCGGCACGAAAAGUGUUGCGGAGGAUGCGGAGUUCCCAGUCCCGCCAUGCUGUAGGCGUUGAAAAAUGAUCUCCUUGCACCCCAAAAUAGCACAGAGGAGGCCCUGAAACCAGAUGGGGCCACGUGGGUGGAAACAAGGAGGUUCUCUUCAGUGGCUGGCACUAAACAGCACCCAAGGAACAAUCAGGAUGAAGGUCUCAGCCGAUGCCGCUGUGGCUAGAUGACGAAAGAGGUUCUUCUAGACUUCCACCUCUCUUGUAAGACCAGCAGAAUCUCCCAUAGUGUAUCUUCUCUGGGACUGGUUGUUCUGCAUUGGGAACAUGCCUUGGAGCUCCUAGUCUGCAGCACCCACAAUGCCCAAAGCAGUUUGGACCUGAUUAAAGAAGGACAACAAAGGCCAAUUUGCCAUCACCAAAGGAGCAGCUUGACCUGGAGGGAUGAGGCCUGGAGGCCGACAGCAGGACCCCGUCAGUGAUUCUUUCGGCUCUUGAAAAUGGUAAAUAUCUAGAAGAUAACCUGCUGGGUCAUGAGGUAAAAAUUCUUAUGGACUGGAAUCUUCCUCAAGGCUUACUUUGUUCCUGGGAUGCAGUGGUGCAUAGAAGAUAGGGCAUUGACUCACUCAGACCUGGCUUGCCCAGCAUGCAUUGCAACAAUAAUGUGCAAGUUAUUAAAGACAUGAGUGAAUUCGUAA